rnacentral:rRNA from 1 species
CCUACGGGGGGCAGCAGUGAGGAAUAUUGGUCAAUGGACGAGAGUCUGAACCAGCCAAGUAGCGUGAAGGAUGACUGCCCUAUGGGUUGUAAACUUCUUUUAUAAAGGAAUAAAACGAGGCACGUGUGCCUUUUUGCAUGUACUUUAUGAAUAAGGAUCGGCUAACUCCGUGCCAGCAGCCGCGGUAAUACGGAGGAUCCGAGCGUUAUCCGGAUUUAUUGGGUUUAAAGGGAGCGUAGAUGGGUUGUUAAGUCAGUUGUGAAAGUUUGCGGCUCAACCGUAAAAUUGCAAUUGAUACUGGCAGUCGUGAGUACAUUUGAGGUAGGCGGAAUUCGUGGUGUAGCGGUGAAAUGCUUAGAUAGCACGAAGAACCCCGAUUGCGAAGGCAGCUUACUAAACUGUGACUGACAUUGAUGCUCGAAAGUGUGGGUAUCAAACAGGAUUAGAUACCCCAGUAGUC